AGCAGAGCGGAGGAAGGAGAAUCUGUUAAUUGGCUGACUUAACGGAAAUCUGUGAAUUAUUCGUCCAACAGGCGUUCAUUAAGCACCUACCCUGUGCCGGCGCUGACGAUACACCAGUGAAUGAAACUACAGGUCCUGGCUCUCAACCCUCAACUGGCGUUGAACCGUCUUUCCUAGUCCCAGGAACUUCAGCAUCUAGCACAGUGCCUUUGUUGGAUACAGUGAGAUUAUGACGUUCUUCCAAUUAAGAGGUGGACAUAUGUUCCUGUUUUAUGGCAGACCAAAUCUGGUAUAAGAGACAUUGAGCGACGACUGAGACUAGAUCAUAAAAGACAAUACAGCUUCUGCCAGGUUCUCUUGGAACACAUGUCCUUGGAACCCAGCUUCCAUGCUGCAAGGAAGCCCAAGCUACCCUAUGCAGUGAACCAUGUGGAGAGAGUAUGUGCAGAUGUUCCAGACAACAGCUCAGCCGAGAUCAAAACUGAUUACCAGGAAAAUUCAGGAGUGAAGACACUUCUAGAUGAUUUCAAGCCCAGAGGUUGAGUCAUCUCCAGCUGAGGCUGCAGACUUCAUGGAGCCACUGUACUUUUUUUGAAUUUCUGACCCAGAGGAUCUGUGAGCAUAAUAAAAUUGCAAAGGCAAGCUCCCUGGUCCAGUGGUAAUGUGCUUCUCAAGAGAAGCCAGAUCCCACAUGACAAAUGCAGUUUUAAUUUCUGGCCCCACACCAGCCAUAAGUGUGACAAGCUGAAGGACUGGAGGGAGGGGAUUGUGGCAUGGUCAGA